rnacentral:lncRNA from 1 species
CCUGAAUCAGAUCAUGGGGCAGCUGGGAGGGGGAAUGUCAAGGACAUCGGGAAGGACAUUGAAGCCGGGGAGUUGAGUGGGUAGCCUCAACCAGGGAGGCCAGAUGGAGCAAAGGAGUCAUGGGAGGCUGAGAAGAAGACCCCGGAGAUCUGGAGAGCUCAUGCCACAUCUUGAAGGACCAGCCAGGAUGCACUCCGCUUCCUUCAAAUUACCCCGACCCCUGUGACUUGAGUUUGCCCCCACUGGCCUGCAGGUUUACAGAGGAGACAACCACAGCCCAAAGAGAUUAUCUGAGACGUUAUGACUCCAUGCUCCGCUCUCAGAGAAGUCAAAGCCCAUGAUUUUCGAGGAUGCCUUCCAUCUGUGGGGAACACAAGGAUCCCAUGCAGGAAACAAUGAGAGAACAGCACAACAUGCACAGUACCACCCCAGGAGGGCCUGCUGUGUUGGCUGGACCAGGAUUGGACACCUG